GGUGAUUCAACAGGGUCAUUCAUGAUGCCUCUUGUUUAGAGGGCAAUGCGUGCUAUGGGUCCUUUUUUCUAACACUUGCAGAAGAUUUCAGCCCCGGCCACGAUGUUUGCUGUCAGCGGAUGGAAAAGUCUUCCUCAAUUGAUGGUUCAUACCCCAUUCUUCUGAAGUGCUGGUUAUGUUCAAAACUCUGCCAGAAAAGGCAGCUUUUAAAGCCUUAAAGCGAACUCUACAACUGAUAGCUCCUCUGCAUGAUAUCGUGGCCUACCUUGUCAGUUUUGCUAAGCUUGGCAAUUGUCCAGCAUGUUUUGAAUUUCCUCGAAGUCCCAACCCUUUGAGAGGUGACUGGGGAGGAACUGAGGGCAUUGGGUCUGAGCUUCAAGAGCUGCAGAACAUGAUUGACAGCCUCCAGAGCCCCCAAGACCCUAUCCGGGUGGCCCAGGCACUCCUCCUCCGGAGGGAGGUUAUAUUUUUGCAGUUUGACGCUGCAGUAAGGCAUCUCAUCCGAAGAACAUUUUUGGCAGCUGGAAAUGUUCCUGCCUACCAGUCUGUCACAGACGGCAUGUGCCAUGGGCUACCAGCACUGAGCAACUCUCUCAGGAAGAGCAUUUUUGCCUCACAGCUCAGCCUGCCCCAGCCACUGGAUCCACGGAGCCUCCAGGCAUUUGAGCUGUUUCCUUGGAGAGCAUUUCUGGAAGAUGGAGGACCAUUCCCAGUUAUGAGUAACAGCCCAGAUACCCUAGAAUAUAAUAUGCAGCUGUGCCUCUGUGGGCUGAGUGACCGUGACCGCAAGGUGGCUCAUGGAGAACUGGUGGGUGUGCAACUGCUACUGGAAGAUGUUCUGAGUAGCUAUCAUGUGACCAUGGAGGCCCCCCAAAGACAGCAAGCCACACUGGGCAAAAAUACACAGCCAGAUUGGUCCAAAGUGCCAGGAUUCAGAAGUCAGUUCCGAAGCAGCCCAAAGACCUCUGAGCUGCUGGAGGGCCUGUGCGAUGCGGUGAUGUCCUUUGCUUUGCUGAGAUCAUUUCUGAUACUGUGGAAGCAGCUGGAAGUGCUAAAGGAGCACUGGGGCCGACUCAAGCUGCAAGGCCAGGAUAUCAACUCUGUCUCUCUCCACAAACGGUUUUCAGAGCUCUAUGAAACUGACGUUCUCUACCCCAGCAUGAAAGCUAUAGCCAGGCAGAUGGGGAAAGAAGAUGAAUUUGAAGGAUUUAUAGUAAAUAAUCAGUCUGUUCUUCCCCCCAGUGGAGCCUCAGAAGUUGAAAUAAAAACUCACCAAGUAUGCAGGAUAUAUUUUAAAUUUGCCUUUGAAAAUGUCCUUUAUGGCAUUAGCAUGUAAAACUACAGGCAUACCCAAAUGGUAUUUUUUCCAAGAAGCUGAGUGUAAAUUGCAGGGUUGUAAAUCAUUGAAUGGGCUGGAGGGAGGGCAGGACUAAGUAUUUAAAGCCAUGUGGUGCUUCGAUGAAGCAAAUUACUACCCUUAAUGUCCCUGUUCUAUAAGUCUGGAUUUUUAUCAUUUUGAUUUUCCUCAAAUUGAUGUGUACCUUCAUAAGAAUGAUCAUAGAAAACAUAACCACUAUCUUAAGCAUAAAAUUUAGCAUGCAAGUAUUCACAUGGAAAUGAAAUAUUUGUAAAAGCUCCCUGUAAUUGUUUUUCUGAGAAUAAGAAAAUGCCCAUUUGGUAUGUGUAA
ensembl:lncRNA novel transcript